CAUAUAAGAUCCAAUAAUAACUGAAACUCCUUCCCCGCCACUCGAACACAAAGCAAGAAUAGAUUUGGUGACCUCCGUCCUCCCCUCCCCUCCAACUCUCAGAGAAUGUCCUUGAGACUGUUAUCGCCACCAUGUUCCACUUGCUUUUCAAAAACCCAGCUAAAAAAAUUGUUUUUCUCGAACGCAAAUUCAAGUUAUCUGUGUUUUCAAUGGCCAUCGAAUGGUAACAGUGUGUUUUCUCGAAGGGGAGUUACAACAAAGGCGUGCGUUAAAUUGGAGGAAAAGAAUGUCCCAGAAACUUGCAGCGAGUGGGGGAAGGUUUCGGCAGUGUUAUUCGACAUGGAUGGAGUGCUGUGCAACAGUGAAGAGCUUUCUAGAAUGGCUGCCGUUGACGUGUUUGCUGAAAUGGGAGUACAAGUAACUGUUGAGGACUUUGUGCCUUUCAUGGGCACAGGAGAAGCCAAUUUUUUAGGAGGGGUUGCUUCUGUGAAGGGUGUUAAGGAAUUCAAUCCUGAGGAGGCAAAGAAGAGAUUUUUUGAGAUAUACUUGGAUAAGUAUGCGAAACCAAAUUCUGGCAUAGGUUUCCCUGGUGCCUUGGAACUUGUAACAGAGUGUAAGAGUAAUGGUCUCAAAGUUGCUGUUGCAUCCAGUGCUGAUCGCAUCAAGGUUGAAGCAAAUUUAGCAGCUGCUGGUUUGCCUUUAUCAAUGUUUGAUGCAGUUGUGUCUGCGGAUGCAUUUGAAAACUUGAAACCUGCUCCUGAUAUAUUUUUAGCCGCUUCAAUGAAUUUGAAUGUUCCCCCUAGUGAGUGUAUUGUGAUCGAAGAUGCAUUAGCUGGAGUAGAAGCUGCCAAAUCAGCAAACAUGAGAUGUAUAGCUGUAACGACAACAUUAUCAGAAGAUAUUUUGACGGAAGCUGGUCCAUCACUUAUCAGAAAAGAGAUAGGCAAAAUAUCACUAGAUGAUAUCAUCAAUGGUGGCUCUAGUUGGCAUAAUGCAAAGAUGCAGUUAUCACAGUCUAUCAGUGAUUCUGCACAAGGUUCCCUGAAUUCCAACUAUAGAGACAGUAGUUCAUUGCAGGAUAAUUCUCCAAGAGCUUUAGACUUCUCCUUUGGAGGGUUGCAGGGUUCUCGGCGAGAUAUUUUGAGAUAUGGAAGUUUGGGAAUUGCUAUCUCUUGCCUUCUUUUUACCAUAGCAAACUGGAAGGUAAUGCAAUAUGCAUCUCCUAAAGCUAUCUGGAAUUUGUUGUUUGGAGCCAGCAGCCCUCCGUUUGGACAGGAUAAAGGUCUUAAAUUUACAAGGAUGCCUCAUGUUGCUCUUUAUUAUUCUCGUUUCAUUAGAAUUCAACAAUUUACAAACUACAUAGCUGAUCUAGAGAAAAGGGGGAAUGCGACAAUUGUACCAGAGUUUCCUUCUAAACUUGACUGGUUGAAUACAGCUCCCCUUCAAUUACGCCGGGAUUUGAAAGGAAAGGUGGUUCUUCUCGACUUCUGGACCUACUGCUGCAUAAAUUGUAUGCACGUAUUGCCAGACCUAGAGUUUUUGGAGAAAAAAUAUAAAGAUAUGCCAUUUGUUGUUAUAGGGGUGCAUUCUGCAAAGUUUGACAAUGAGAAAGACUUGGAAGCCAUUCGCAAUGCAGUACUACGAUAUGGCAUCUCUCAUCCGGUUGUCAAUGAUGGUGAUAUGUAUUUAUGGCGAGAGUUGGGUAUAAAUUCAUGGCCUACAUUUGCCGUUGUUGGGCCAAAUGGAAAGCUGAUUGCACAAAUAUCUGGUGAAGGUCGCCGAAAGGAUCUUGACAAUUUGAUCGAAGCAGCUCUUCUCUUCUAUGGUAGAAAGAAAUUAUUGGAUAGCAGACCUAUUCCCUUGCGGUUGGAAAAAGAGAAUGAUCUUCGCUUGCUGACAUCCCCUUUGAAAUUUCCUGGUAAGCUGGAGGUCGACAUCCUCAACAACCGGCUGUUCAUUUCAGAUAGCAACCAUAACCGAAUAGUUGUCACUGACCUUGAUGGGAACUUCAUAAUGCAAAUUGGGAGCACUGGAGAAGAGGGUUUUCGUGAUGGUAGUUUUGAUGAUGCCAUGUUCAAUCGGCCACAGGGUCUCGCUUACAAUGCGAAAAAAAAUCUCCUGUAUGUAGCAGACACUGAAAACCAUGCUUUGAGGAUGAUUGAUUUUGUUAACGAGAUGGUGCAAACACUCUCUGGAAAUGGAACCAAAGGUUCUGACUACAAAGGUGGCAGAUCAGGAUCCACUCAGCUCCUCAAUUCGCCCUGGGAUCUUUGCUUUGAUCCUGUGAAUGAAGUUAUUUACCUGGCCAUGGCUGGCCAGCAUCAGAUCUGGGAACAUAAUACUUUAGAUGGUAUUACAAGAGCUUUUAGUGGUGAUGGUUAUGAAAGAAAUUUGAACGGUUCAAGUUCCGGAAGCACUUCAUUUGCACAACCUUCUGGAAUUUCAUUAUCUCCUGAUUCAAAGGAAGCAUAUAUUGCUGAUAGUGAGAGUAGUUCCAUUCGAGCACUUGAUCUAAGAACAGGGGGAUCGAGAUUACUUGCUGGGGGUGAUCCGGUUUUCUCAGACAACUUGUUUAGGUUUGGAGACCAUGAUGGAGUAGGCUCUGAAGUUCUUCUUCAACAUCCAUUAGGUGUCUUUUGUGGAAAGGAUGGUCAAAUUUAUCUAGCAGAUUCUUACAAUCACAAGAUUAAGAAGUUGGAUCCAGCUAGUAACAGAGUGAGUACCUUAGCAGGAACUGGAAAAGCUGGGUUCAAGGAUGGAAGAGCCCUAUCAGCACAGCUUUCAGAGCCUUCUGGAAUUGUUGAAGCCCAAAAUGGUAGAUUAUUUAUAGCCGAUACGAACAACAGCGUAAUCAGGUACUUAGACCUGAGGAAGGAAGAACCCGUACUUCUUACUUUGGAGUUGAAAGGAGUCCAGGCUCCGGCAUCAAAAUCCAAAUCUUUGAGGCGCCUUAGAAGGAGAUCUACAGCUGACACAGAGACUGUCAAAGUUAAUGGCGUUUCAUCCAAUGAGGGCAAAUUAUGUCUUAAGAUAUCAGUGCCAGAGGGUUACCACUUCUCGAAGGAAGCACGCAGUAAAUUCAGUGUAGAAGUUGAACCGGAAAAUUCAGCUGUUCUUAAUCCGGUGGAUGGGAACAUCAGCACUGAAGGAUCUGCAGUUGUACAAUUCAAAAGAUCCUCCCCAUCAUCUUCCAUGAGUAGAAUUUAUUGCAAGGAAAAUGCAAUUACUUUGCCCAAAAGCUAUAACUAAUGUGGGAGGUGCAAUCCAUCCUAUAUUACCCAAAAUCAGGCCAGGAAUCCACCUCAAGCCUUCAAGUACACCUUACGAAGGCGCCAUUGGGCCAUUCCCAAAUUGAGACCAUAGGCCCACCCCGUUUCAAGUAUGCUCUUGCAUUAGAUAAGAAUAAACUGAACGUAGUGAAAAUGAUGAAUCAUGUAGCCGAUCCCAAAUCAAUAGGAAGUGAGCCUUAGUUCCUUGUUAAAGAAAUGGAUCAGGUUUCCACUCAAUUUGGCCUCGGCAUACCCAUUCGAAUUUUGAAUGUAUACUACUGCAAGGAAGAUGAAGUUUGUUUAUACCAAUCUUUGACCUUCGAAGUACCUUUUCAAGAGGUCAUUCCAGAUGCUGCCCCUGUUGAGAUAAUGCUUCCAUAUGUCGUGAAACCUAAAACUUCC